GGCUGCGUAGUUCAACUGGAUAGAAUAUCAGAUUUCGGCUCUGAUGGUUGGGAGUUCGAAUCUCUUCGCGGUCACCA
rnacentral:tRNA from 2 species